AUGAACGCUGGCGGCGUGCUUAAUACAUGCAAGUCGAACGGAGACAGUAGCAAUAUUGUCUUAGUGGCGAACGGGUGAGUAACGCGUUGGUGACCUGCCCCGAAGAGGGGGAUAACAGUCCGAAAGGAUUGCUAAUACCCCAUGUGGUCAUAAGGAUUAGAUGCCUAAUGACUAAACGGAUUUAUUCGCUUCGGGAGGGGCCUGCGUCCCAUCAGCUAGUUGGUAAGGUAAUGGCUUACCAAGGCUAUGACGGGUAGGGGACCUGAGAGGGUGGCCCCCCACAAUGGAACUGAAACACGGUCCAUACACCUACGGGUGGCAGCAGUAGGGAAUAUUGGUAAUCUGGGAAACCGGGAACCAGCAACGCCGCGUGCGCGAUGAAGGCCUUCGGGUCGUAAAGUGCUUUUAGGGGAGAUGAGAAAGGACAGUAUCCCCUGAAUAAGCCUCGGCGAACUACGU
rnacentral:rRNA from 1 species